UACGGAGGGGGCUAGCGUUGUUCGGAAUUACUGGGCGUAAAGCGCACGUAGGCGGCUUUGUAAGUUAGAGGUGAAAGCCCAGGGCUCAACCCUGGAAUUGCCUUUAAGACUGCAUCGCUUGAAUCAUGGAGAGGUGAGUGGAAUUCCGAGUGUAGAGGUGAAAUUCGUAGAUAUUCGGAAGAACACCAGUGGCGAAGGCGACUCACUGGACAUGUAUUGACGCUGAGGAGCGAAAGCCAGGGGAGCAAACGGG
rnacentral:rRNA from 1 species